rnacentral:rRNA from 1 species
GCUAGUCGGACGGGAUUCAGCAGCUUGCUGUUGAUGAGAGUGGCGCACGGGUGCGUAACGCGUGAGCAACCUGCCCAUUUCAGGGGGAUAGCCCGGAGAAAUCCGGAUUAAGACCGCAUAUGAUCACGUUACCGCAUGGUAGAGUGAUGAAAUAUUCAUAGGAAAUGGAUGGGCUCGCGUGACAUUAGCUAGUUGGUAGGGUAACGGCCUACCAAGGCGACGAUGUCUAGGGGCUCUGAGAGGAGAAUCCCCCACACUGGUACUGAGACACGGACCAGACUCCUACGGGAGGCAGCAGUAAGGAAUAUUGGUCAAUGGGGGGAACCCUGAACCAGCCAUGCCGCGUGCAGGAAGACGGCCCUACGGGUUGUAAACUGCUUUUGCACGGGAAUAACCCUCAUUAUGUAUAAUGAGCUGAAUGUACCGUGAGAAUAAGGAUCGGCUAACUCCGUGCCAGCAGCCGCGGUAAUACGGAGGAUCCGAGCGUUAUCCGGAAUUAUUGGGUUUAAAGGGUGCGCAGGCGGGGAUCUAAGUCAGGGGUGAAAGACGGUGGCUCAACCAUCGCAGUGCCUUUGAUACUGGAUUCCUUGAAUAUACCUGAGGUAGGCGGAAUGUGGCAAGUAGCGGUGAAAUGCAUAGAUAUGCCACAGAACACCGAUUGCGAAGGCAGCUUACCAAAGUAUGAUUGACGCUGAGGCACGAAAGCGUGGGGAUCGAACAGGAUUAGAUACCCUGGUAGUCCACGCCCUAAACGAUGAACACUCGAUGUCGGCGAUAGACAGUCGGCGUCCAAGCGAAAGCGUUAAGUGUUYCACCUGGGGGAGUACGCCCGCAAGGGUGAAACUCAAAGGAAUUGACGGGGGCCCGCACAAGCGGAGGAGCAUGUGG